rnacentral:rRNA from 1 species
GUCUACAGCCAUGCUACCCUGAACAAGCUCAAUCCCAUCUGAUCUCAGAAGCUAGGCAGGGUUGGGCCCUGGUUAGUACUUGGAUGGGAGACCACCUAAGAAGACCAGAUGCUGUAGGCU